CCACCCAGGCACCCCAUCUCCUCUAUUAUUUUAAUUUGGCCACAGGAUGAUUUGGAAGCCCUUGCUUGUUCCAUCAGCUUCUCCAACCCAGCUCUUAGCAGAAUAGUAAAACAGACGCGUUAUUGGCAACUCCGUCGUGCUAAGGAGAGGCCGUCUCCAGCAUGACAUCAGCCAAAUCUAUUUCACCAGAGAGCCUUGCACUGCCUGAUUUCCAACAUGUAGAAGAUGCACACGGGGGGCAGGGGAAGAAGGCAUAAAUGAGACACAGACUGGGGACUUUUUGAUGUGUUUAGCACAUUUUUGUGACUUCCUUUAACACCGCAGACCUUGGUUCUCCCACCAUUAGGCGAACAAAAGACAAGCCGGGAGGGGGCAGGGAAGGUGACCCGUUCAGGAACAAGUUCUGCUCAACCUAUUUAGCAUUUUUAAUUGAACCGCUGAAAAGGGGAGGCAAAAAUGGGAAGACGAGAGUGAACACCACAGCCGAGUAACUUCAGAUAUAAAAAGUCCCUUCAUUAAAUCUGUUGUUUUUUAAUUCAUAAUUGCACUUAAAUAAAGAGGGACCUAUGGGCAGCUGUUUCUAAUAUCGAGUCCCCACCGCACAUGAAAGACGCAUUUAUUCCUGCAGCAGGCCUCCCUACCCUUGGGUGUUAUCAGCUGAACAUGUUUUGAACCUACCUAAUGCAUUUGAGGUAGCUUGGGUUUAUUUUUCUUUCAAUAAAAUAAAUGGUUUUGUAAUUAAAUUUCUGCACUGCUUGUGCUUAAUGGUUACAUUGACAAGUGCUAAUGUAUGGCAAGAGAAUGAGUUUGAAAUGAAACAUGCUGUUUUUGAAUCUGCAAGCAAUUUUGCAGCGGGGCAAUCAAACCCCUCAUGCCAGCAAAACAUUUUCA